rnacentral:rRNA from 1 species
AUACGGAGGGUGCAAGCGUUAUCCGGAUUCACUGGGUUUAAAGGGUGCGUAGGCGGGUUGGUAAGUCCGUGGUGAAAUCUCCAAGCUUAACUUGGAAACUGCCGUGGAUACUAUCAAUCUUGAAUGUCGUGGAGGUAAGCGGAAUAUGUCAUGUAGCGGUGAAAUGCUUAGAGAUGACAUAGAACACCAAUUGCGUAGGCAGCUUACUACACGAAUAUUGACGCUGAGGCACGAAAGCGUGGGGAGCAAACAGGAUUAGAUACCCUGGUAGUCCACGCCCUAAACGAUGGAUACUCGACAUCAGCGAUACACUGUUGGUGUCUGAGCGAAAGCAUUAAGUAUCCCACCUGGGAAGUACGAUCGCAAGAUUGAA